rnacentral:lncRNA from 1 species
AUAUGAGCAUGAAAACUGACCUGAGAACUUGACCAAGAUAGGUCCAGGACAUCAUCUUGAUGACCACUGAAAGUGCAUACUGGUUUGUCUGAGAGAGCAAAUACAAUUUCAGGUACAUUUACAUACUCUGGAAGUGAGUUUCCCUUCUUUUUAUUAGAAGUCUUCCCCUUUUUCCUUCUUUCUGAUUGCAUAUUAGUCAUAACUGGCAGAGGUGGACGAUCCGAAUUACUACCAGCCAUUGGUGUGUCACUGACAGAAUUCGGAUCAUCGGAUUGUUUUGUAGACAUAACAUCACAUUCUUGCACUUCCCAUACAUGAAUCACCCUGUCUUCCCCUGCAGUUGCUAGAUACCGACCAUCCGCGGUGAAUCUUAUGGUCCAUAUGGAGCCUUCAUGAGCUUGAAUUUCCUGACACAAUUGCAAAGCUGUGAAUUCUUUGUGAAUCUUUCCUUGCUGCCGCGCUUUAAUCCAUUGGGAGGAAUUCUGUUUCUGUUUCUGUUCCACUAGUGCAGGUAUCUCAAUUUCUUUAUCAACUUUUGACAUGCUCAUACUAUUUGCAACUCCUUUUAUGUUCUUCAAUAGAGCAACUCCUGUUUUCUUGCUAUAUCUGAAACUCUUGCUGAGAUACGCAUUUACGUUAAGUUUUCUUUCAUCAUUUGUUGAAACAUUUGCACGGCGCAUCAGUUCCUUAACAACAGGUGAGUAUCCCACAGAUUUCUCAAAUUCCUCCAUGGAAAGUUGCUUCCCUGUUUGUAGAUCACUGAGCUUAUUCCACAUUCCCUCUUCAUUGGACUCUUUAACAAUGAAUUCAUUUCCAGUGUCCAGAUUUUUUAUCAGGAAAAACGAAGCAAAUCCCGAAUCAGCAUUUCCAUUUGGCAAUGUGGAUGAUGGUGUUUCACCUCCAUUUUGUGGUGAUGUAGAUUUACAUGUUCCCUUUUUAUGCGGCACCAUUACAGCAGCAGAAUUUGUAUACUGGCAUAUUCUUGUAGCUGGUCCUAAAACUCCUGAAAAUGUCCUG